GAACAGCCCGGGAUUAGUGCUAGCACUAAGUGUCCUGUUCUUUUCUAAAAACAGGAGAAUAAGUGGUUAGACGGUGCAGCCGCGCGUAUACCGCAGCUGAGUGUGAUCGUUAUUAUUGAGCUAAGCGUCGUAGCCGGUCUGUAAUCCUUGGGUAAAUCGGACAGCUCACUGUUCGAAUUCCGAGAAGACUGCCAGACUAGGGACCGGGAGAGGUCAGAGGUACUCCGAGGGUAGGGGUGAAAUCCUGUAAUCCCCGGGGACCACCAGUGGCGAAGGCGUCUGACUGGAACGGAUCCGACGGUAAGGGACGAAGCCCUGGGGCGCAAACCGGAUUAGAUACCCGGGUAGUCCAGGGUGUAAACGCUGCAGGCUUGGUGUCGGGGACCCUACGAGGGUACUCGGUGCCGGAGAGAAGUUGUUAAGCCUGCCGCUUGGGGAGUACGCUCGCAAGAGUGAAACUUAAAGGAAUUGGCGGGGGAGCACCGCAACGGGAGGAGCGUGCGGUUCAAUUGGAUUCAACGCCGUAAAACUCACCGGAGGCGACGAUUACAUGAAGGUCAGGCCGAUGACUUUACCAGAUUUUUCGAGAGGUGGUGCAUGGCCGCCGUCAGUUCGUACCGUAAGGCGUUCUGUUAAGUCAGAUAACGAACGAGACCCUCACCCUUAAUUGCCAGCCAUUCCUCUGGGAAUGGGGAACAUUAAGGGAACCGCUGGCGCUAAGUCAGAGGAAGGCGAGGUCAACGGUAGGUCAGUAUGCCCCGAAUCUUCCGGGCUACACGCGCGCUACAAAGAGUAGGACAAUGGGAUUCGACACCGAAAGGUGGAGGCAACCCCGAAACCUACCCGUAGUUCGGAUUGAGGGCAAAACCCGCGGUCAUGAAGUGAUUCCGUAAAUUCCGGGCCACCCCGAAUUCCCC
rnacentral:rRNA from 1 species